UUUCCCUCAGGAUAGCUGGCACUCGAUUUAACGAGUCUCAUCUGGUAAAGCGAAUGAUUAGAGGCCUUGGGGCCGAAACGACCUCAACCUAUUCUCAAACUUUAAAUGGGUGAGAUCUCUGGCUUGCUUGAACCUUGAAGCCACGAGAUACUUUCUCUCGGAUCAGAGUGCCAAGUGGGCCAAUUUUGGUAAGCAGAACUGGCGCUGUGGGA
rnacentral:rRNA from 1 species